UACGUAGGGUGCAAGCGUUAAUCGGAAUUACUGGGCGUAAAGCGUGCGCAGGCGGCUUUGCAAGACAGAUGUGAAAUCCCCGGGCUCAACCUGGGAACUGCAUUUGUGACUGCAAGGCUAGAGUACGGUAGAGGGGGAUGGAAUUCCGCGUGUAGCAGUGAAAUGCGUAGAUAUGCGGAGGAACACCGAUGGCGAAGGCAAUCCCCUGGACCUGUACUGACGCUCAUGCACGAAAGCGUGGGGAGCAAACAGA
rnacentral:rRNA from 1 species